rnacentral:rRNA from 1 species
UGGGGAAUAUUGCACAAUGGGCGCAAGCCUGAUGCAGCCAUGCCGCGUGUAUGGAGAAGGCCUUCGGGUUGUAAAGUACUUUCAGUCGGGAGGAAGGUGUCAAGGUUAAUAACCUUGGCAAUUGACGUUACCGACAGAAGAAGCACCGGCUAACUCCGUGCCAGCAGCCGCGGUAAUACGGAGGGUGCAAGCGUUAAUCGGAAUUACUGGGCGUAAAGCGCACGCAGGCGGUUGAUUGAGUCAGAUGUGAAAUCCCCGGGCUUAACCCGGGAAUUGCAUCUGAUACUGGUCAGCUAGAGUCUUGUAGAGGGGGGUAGAAUUCCAUGUGUAGCGGUGAAAUGCGUAGAGAUGUGGAGGAAUACCGGUGGCGAAGGCGGCCCCCUGGACAAAGACUGACGCUCAGGUGCGAAAGCGUGGGGAGCAAACAGG